UGGGUAACCUGCCUCAAAGAGGGGAAUAGCCUCCCGAAAGGGAGAUUAAUACCGCAUAAUAUGUUUAGGUCGCAUGACUUUAACAUCAAAGGAUUUUCUUUUAGAAAUUCCACUUUGAGAUGGACCCGCGGCGCAUUAGCUAGUUGGUGAGGUAACGGCUCACCAAGGCAACGAUGCGUAGCCGACCUGAGAGGGUGAUCGGCCACAUUGGAACUGAGACACGGUCCAGACCUCCUAGGGAGG
rnacentral:rRNA from 1 species